rnacentral:rRNA from 1 species
CCAAUAGCGUAUAUUAAAGUUGUUGCAGUUAAAAAGCUCGUAGUUGAAUUUCGGGAUCAGUAUAUCGGUCGUGCCUUGGUACGUACUGGUAUCAUUGGUUUCUCCUUUCUGACGAACCAUGAUGUCAUUAAUUUGGUGUUAUGGGAAGUUAGGACUGUUACUUUGAAAAAAUUAGAGUGUUUAAAGCAGGCUUUAGCUUGAAUACAUUAGCAUGGAAUAAUGAAAUAGGACGUUCGAACCUAUUUUGUUGGUUUCUAGGAUCAACGUAAUGAUUAAUAGGGAUAGUUGGGGGCAUUAGUAUUCAAUUGUCAGAGGUGAAAUUCUUGGAUUUAUUGAAGACUAACUACUGCGAAAGCAUUUGCCAAGGAUGUUUUCAUUAAUCAAGAACGAAAGUUAGGGGAUCGAAGACGAUCAGAUACCGUCGUAGUCUUAACCAUAAACUAUGCCGACUAGGGAUCGGAUGAUGUUAAUUUUUUAAUGACUCAUUCGGCGCCUUACG